rnacentral:lncRNA from 1 species
GCUGUACCAGUGGGGAUCUCCCGUAGGGAUGCCACGUUGCGAGGGCAGGAUCCUGGGCGUUCCCUGGCGUCGCUGCCCUGGCGACCUUGCUGGAAGUUCUGUGGCGUCGCUGCCCUAGCGACCUCGGGGAAGGAAGCGACGCUGCUCGCGGACGGUCUCCACGUUGGUCGGCAACAAUGGCGGUGACACGGUCAGUCAAGGGUAUUUCCUAAGUCCACACCGUACAGGCAGCAAAUGAAUGAUGGGAUCUCCCGUAGGGAUGCCACGCUGCGAGGGCAGGAUCCUGGGCGUUCCCUGGCGUCGCUGCCCUGGCGACCUUGCUGGAAGUUCUGUGGCGUCGCUGCCCUGGCGACCUCGGGGAAGGAAGCGACGCUGCUCGCGGACGGUCUCCACGUUGGUCGGCAACAAUGGCGAUGGUGCGACGGUGCGAUGUCGAAUUAAUUUUGUUUCCUUAUUUUACCAGGAGAUCAGCGUGGUGUGAUGACGAAUUAAUGUUGUUUCCUUAUUUACCUGGAGUACAGCGUGAUUGUAGGGGGUGGAUGGGGGGUGCUGGAGGUGGAGGACGGUCAGUCAAGGGUAUUUCCUAAGUCCACACCGUACAGGCAGCAAAUGAAUGAUGGCUGUUAGAUUUAGAUGUGCGGGUAUAAUUGUGUGGUGUUGAUUGUUCCGUGCGUUUUGCGGGACAAGUUGCCGGGUGUACUUAACGAAGUUCUUGUUUGCUUGUUUAUUAGUAGUAGAGAUACAAGUCAGGACAGGCACGCCGUGUAAGUUCGCAAGAAACCAUAAAUGAUGGCUGGGCAGUUGUCUUACAAGCAACAUAAAUUACCGGCACUCCAGCGGCAUCCCCUAAGAAGGGGCGACCGGUGCGGCACCCUCGGCGGUUCACGAAUUACCGGCACUCCGGCGGCGUCCCCUGAGAAGGAGUUGUUGGUCCUCGG